rfam:Pichia membranifaciens NRRL Y-2026 unplaced genomic scaffold PICMEscaffold_5, whole genome shotgun sequence.
GCUCUUAUGGCCAAGUUGGUAAGGCGCCACACUAGUAAUGUGGCGAUCCUCAGUUCAAAUCUGAGUGAGAGCA